rnacentral:rRNA from 1 species
GACGAACGCUGGCGGCGUGCCUAAUACAUGCAAGUUGAGCGAUGAAGAUUGGUGCUUGCACCAAUUUGAAGAGCAGCGAACGGGUGAGUAACGCGUGGGGAAUCUGCCUUUGAGCGGGGGACAACAUUUGGAAACGAAUGCUAAUACCGCAUAACAACUUUAAACAUAAGUUUUAAGUUUGAAAGAUGCAAUUGCAUCACUCAAAGAUGAUCCCGCGUUGUAUUAGCUAGUUGGUGAGGUAAAGGCUCACCAAGGCGAUGAUACAUAGCCGACCUGAGAGGGUGAUCGGCCACAUUGGGACUGAGACACGGCCCAAACUCCUACGGGAGGCAGCAGUAGGGAAUCUUCGGCAAUGGACGAAAGUCUGACCGAGCAACGCCGCGUGAGUGAAGAAGGUUUUCGGAUCGUAAAACUCUGUUGGUAGAGAAGAACGUGGGUGAGAGUGGAAAGCUCAUCAAGUGACGGUAACUACCCAGAAAGGGACGGCUAACUACGUG